CACACUUAGUAGCCCUGUUCCCUCUACAGUACACUUCUUUUGAUCACACUUAGUAGCCCUGUUCCCUCUACAGUACACUUCUUUUGAUCACACUUAGCAGCCCUGUUCCCUCUACAGUACACUUCUUUUGAUCACACUUAGUAGCCCUGUUCCCUCUACAGUACACUUCUUUUGAUCAUAUUUAGUAGCUCUCUUUCCUCUACAGUACACUUAUUUUGACCACACCAACUAGACAGUUGCUGAUAGCUCUUUUGAUUUGAUAGAAUUACUGUUAUAAACCGGGUGGUCAAAUCCCGAAUGCUGAUUGGCUGAUAGCUGUGGUGUAUGAGACCCUAUACCAAGGGUAUGACAUGACAUCACUUUUUUCUCCAAUUGUGUUUGUAACCCGUUUAUAAAAGCCACAAGGCUCGGGGGGGGGUUGUGAUAUGUUGCCAAUAUUCCACGGCUAAGUGCUGCGUCCAGGCACUCCGCAAUGUAUCGUGCCCAUGAACAGUUCUUAGCUGUGCUAUACUGGCAAUAUACCACACCCCCUCUGGCCUUUUUGCUUAAAUAUACUACUACCAUAUUCAGGAUACAUUUGACUGUGACUGAGAUAUGUGGUUGUCCUGCUUGGCUAUUUUAAGAUGAAUGCACUAAUAGGAUGUCACUCUGGAUUAGAGAGUCUGCCAAAUCAAUAAAAUGCCAUUGUAAAAAUGAGACUUCUGACUGACUAGGGAUUUAGUUGAAAGUCAUGGACCAUAUAGGGAACAAGCCAAGGUGCCGUGUAAGAUGGAGCCACUCAAUACCACAGGCUUUCGGACUGUUCAGCCCUAUCACUCACUACUGCUACAUCAUCAGACCAGUCCCCCCCUGAAGGGGCCUCCCCCCCGCGCCACGCACCCCGUUUCCCAACAGGCGGACCAACUGUCGCUAAUGUUGUCUGUUCUGCCGGGAUUUGUGUCUUUCAAACUUCAGAGUGGUGAUUUCAGACAGGGGCAGUGAAUGAGUGAAAGAGAGAAUCGGCAGCAAAAUGAAACCAAAAUAAGCCUGCAAUUGACUCUUAGUACAACAACGUUAGAAUAAUACCGAUAGCAGAAACAGUCGCUUCCCUGAUAGCCAUUGUAAUUCCAGAAAUUGCCAGUGUGUUCACAAAUCUAUGUUGACUGUUUAGGAAUAGUCACAACUAUUGUGUGUGUACAUAAGUGUGUGUGUGUGUGUGUGUGUUAAUCAUCUCUGCGGAUUGUGGGUGCUGACUGAUUUCCUCUAUAAAUCUGUAACCAGGUAAAUGUGAGUAAUUGCAUAAAAACACAAUAGUAACAAAAUUAUAAGUCGGAAAAAACAUGGAAUUAAUGUAACUAGAACUCUGAAUCCUGUUCUGUUGGAUUUUAAGCAUCAAGUUACCCUCGAUAGUUAUAAAGAAGGGAAGCAUUUGAAUGUGUUUUCACCACGUUAUGUGAUUUCUGUGAUUGUCGUUGUUUCAAUGUUUCAGAUAUUAUGCAUUUCACUUCAUUUUGCCACAGCUCACUCUGGGUCUCAGUCAUCUGUGGUAGCUGCGUGCAGUGUGUUGAAGAGGAAGUCAUUGUUGAUUCGCUGCAGGGCUGGGCUAUCAUUUCGGCUCAAAGUCCACAUCAGGGCUGGAAAAACGUCAGUAAUUAGAAAAAUAAUUGGUUCAUUAUAAUAUGCUCAAACUUUUGAGUGCUUUAGUAAUUCAAAACCUAACCCAAAAUGUGGGACAUAUUUUAUCCACACUUUUAACAGUUUUUGAUAACGUUGAACUAAACCAAAUACUAUUAAUGUUACUAGAGUAAUAUUAGAAUCUUCUCUUAUCUGUCAGUAGAGUUUCAUCCACUAUUUCUCACAACCUAUUUCUCACAACCUGAAGUUGGGUGUGUGAGCACAAGUACAGUGUCUGUAUGUAUGUGUGUGUGCAUUUUUCUGUAAUCAUGGUGAAAAAAAUAUUGUUCUAUUGACAUUUUCUCAUUGCUGCUUAUCAUGACACUUGGUGAGACUGAGCAUAAAUAAAUGUUUGACAGUAUUGAUUUAGCUGCUUUAUUGUUAUCCAGCUAGAUAAACAAAAUAUUUGUUCUGGUUCUACCAUGUACUGUAUAUCUGCUGAACCAGAGCAUUACUUUGAACUUGAUUCUACACAAAUCUGCCCACCAUACUGAAUACGUUCAGAGUCACUGGCUUUAUCCUUAUCCCACACACCAGAUUUAUAUCCAGUAAACCUAAGCUAUUUAUAUUCCUCUACUUUUGUUUUGAAAAAAGAAACAACGGUUCAAACAAGAUAAAUGUAAGUAAAAUACGACGUACAUAAGUAGCUCGGCAUAGUUAUUGCCGAACAAGAGAAUCAAGCCGUAAGACCCAGGGUGUUCCGAGGUGUGUUACUGUACAUUAGCACCUUUGUGGUGUCAUCCUCCAUCGACGUUUGUGUCCGUUGUGUGUAGUCUGUCGUGCCUUAAUACGAGUUGUGGUGGUGCUCUGUCAUUUAUCAAGUGCCUGUGUGACUGUCAACACUCCGACCAUCUCCUGUCCUGUCGCCGCCGUCACUCCUUUUUCUGUCCGUUUCAAAUUCCUCCUGCGUCAAGUAGCACCGAAACCUCAUUGGCACCUCUUGAACUGAGUGACGCCAUCCUAGGCCAAUGACAGGGCUUGUUUGCCUGCAGGUUUGGGUUAGACUGUGGAGCUGAACAAACAGGACACGCCUACAUCCAUGGCGUAACAGUUAGCUGUCUACCAUUUAUUCUGCCAGUCAAAAUAUUUGUAAUUGCGAAACAUUUUGUGGAACAUAUCAAGGAGUUUCAUGAAUUUGCCCAAUAGAAACUCUGUUUAACAAAACAUUUAGUAACUUACAGAAUGAAUACACUACGCUUCUUAAAAUGGCAGAUAAUGAACUAUGUAACUCCACUCAUCCAGCUCCAGGUAAACUUUCCAAAUGUUUUGUUAUAUGAUGUUGUUAUUGUACCUCUACCAUAAAUCCCUUAUCUUAACUUCUUCUUGUUUUUCAACUUUAUAAACUCCAAUGUAACUAGAAUCUGACAAAGAGGGAUUGGACAAUGAUGUCUACAAAGAUCGCACUUACAGAAAUAUAGUAGUGGUAUAGUCUGUAAAUGAUCUCUGAAAUUGUUCUGACUGAAAACUAGCGAAUCAAAACUACAGAAACCAAGUGGAACCUUUAGAACCUCAGCUUCCAACCAAUACUUGAUUACCUGUAUGACAUCAUCAGUGCCCUAUCUCACCCAUCUCUGUCUGGUUCUAAGACAUGGUUGAAGGACCUCUUUCCAUCUUUCCAUCUGGGUUGUAAGCCAUAGAUGCUUCUGGGCAGCGUUCAAUUUAACUUACGGAAUGUUAACAUAAACAAAAUGGUGCUGUACUGAACGACUAGAUGAAAAAUAAGGUGUAUGGGUUGUGAUUUAAGGAAGCUACCAAAAUGUCCCUUCACCUUUAAUUAGGUCAUUCAACUCUGCCACACACACCAAAUGGAUCAAACAUACUAUUUAGUCUGUUCACUGAUGUUUUGUGGAAUUGUUCAGUUCAGUGCAAACCGUGCCGCAACUUAGCAAACUUUUAAUCGAACUGAACGCACCCCUGUUGUGUUCCAUUGCCCUCUCUCACUGGCUGGCUAUGUGUAAUUGCAUUCUUUGAUGUCUUUGUAUGAUUCCUCUACAAAGCUGAUGAUUAAAAAAAUUACCUCCUACUGGUC
ensembl:lncRNA